UUGCUAGCUAAUCUCCUCCAAGGGGUUGGCCUCCUGGAGAGAAAGGGAGAGACAUGUUCUCUCCAAUUUUCUCCAAAAGAAAACCCUAAGGAUGAAAUGUCUAUAAAGUUGCCUUUAUACCACCUCACAAUGGAGUGGCAAACUUCCAAUUAAGCCAAGUUCACUACCCCUUUCUAUAUGGCCAGCCAUUAAGGGUUCAUUGGGCUUUCAAGCCCUUUGUGUUUUCAAGUUGUCAUACAACUUGAGUUAAUAGGCUUGACAUUCAAAUCCCAUUGGGCCUUGCGGCCCAAAACUAACCCGAGGUCUUUAACGAACUUUAUUCGUUUGAUUAAUUAACUUAUUAAUUAAUCCUUGCCAUAAAUAAUUAAACCAUUUAAUUAUCCUUACUCAUCUCCGUUGUUUCUUCAAUCUCUACCUUACACGGUGUACGAUCCAUUAGGUUCCUUUUAGCGAGGCAGUGGGCGAUUAGAACUCUUUCAAAUCAAUUGUGAAUUGAAACUUACUUUCAAUUCUCCCUUUAGUGAUUAUACACAUUUAGGGCUUCCAUAAACCAUGAGUGACACCUAGCAGUAUGUCAUGGUUACCCAAGCUAAUCAGAAGAGGUGGAGAACCUAUUCAGUUUAGGAUUACAAUGCAAUACGGUUUUUCUCUAAUACAAUACUCUUGACCACAUUGUUUGGUUUGAUAGUUUAAUCAUGUCUACUAUCCAAUGUGAUUUAUUUACUUAUAUGAUUACCUUGAAUGUGAUUUAGAACAA
rnacentral:lncRNA from 1 species